rnacentral:sRNA from 1 species
ACGAGCAUCUUGGUCAUCUCUUCGUCCUGUCUUGUUGCGGGUGACCGGACGCGGACGAGGUU